rnacentral:tRNA from 2 species
GCUCCUGUGGUGGAAUGGUAGACACAGCAGACUCAAAAUCUGUUACCCGAAAAGGUAUGCUGGUUCAAGUCCGGCCAGGAGUA